GCCUUCGGGCUUAGUGGCGGACGGGUUAGUAACGCGUGGGAACGUGCCCUUCACUACGGAAUAGUCCUGGGAAACUGGGUUUAAUGCCGUAUACGCCCUUCGGGGGAAAGAAUUUCGGUGAGGGAUCGGCCCGCGUUAGAUUAGGUAGUUGGUGGGGUAAUGGCCUACCAAGCCUACGAUCUAUAGCUGGUUUUAGAGGAUGAUCAGCCACACUGGGACUGAGACACGGCCCAGACUCCUACGGGAGGCAGCAGUGGGGAAUCUUGGACAAUGGGGGCAACCCUGAUCCAGCCAUGCCGCGUGUGUGAAGAAGGCCUUCGGGUUGUAAAGCACUUUCAGUAGGGAGGAAGGCUUAUCCUUAAUACGGAUGAGUACUUGACGUUACCUACAGAAGAAGCACCGGCUAAUUUCGUGCCAGCAGCCGCGGUAAUACGAAAGGUGCGAGCGUUAAUCGGAAUUACUGGGCGUAAAGCGCGCGUAGGCGGUUUGCUAAGUCAGAUGUGAAAGCCCCGGGCUCAACCUGGGAACUGCAUCCAGAACUGCCAGGCUAGAGUAUGGUAGAGGGUAGUGGAAUUUCCGGUGUAGCGGUGAAAUG
rnacentral:rRNA from 1 species